AUUGAACGCUGGCGGCAGGCCUAACACAUGCAAGUCGAACGAGUGGCGGACGGGUGAGUAAUGUCUGGGAAACUGCCCGAUGGAGGGGGAUAACUACUGGAAACGGUAGCUAAUACCGCCUACCAUCGGUUGGGCCCAGAUGGGUUUGUGUAGUAGGUGGGGUAACGGCUCACCUAGGCGACGAUCCCUAGCUGGUCUGAGAGGAUGACCAGCCACACUGUAACUGAGACACGGGCCAGUCUCCGACGGGAGGCAGCAGUGGGGAAGAUUGCACAAUGGGCUGAAGCCUGAUGCAGCCAUGCCGCGUGUAUGAAGAAGGCCUUCGGGUUGUAAAGUACUUUCAGCGAGGAGGCGUUACUCGCAGAAGAAGCACCGGCUAACUCCGUGCCAGCAGCCGCGGUAAUUC
rnacentral:rRNA from 1 species